UGUAAGCGUAUACCAAAGUUGUUGCAGUUAAAACGCUCGUAGUCGGAAUUUGGCAGUUCCGGAAGUGUGCACGUCGUGUGCGCACUUUGCGGGGACUGCUUUUGUGGUCUUGCGUAGGAUGAGGCACUUUCAUUAGGGAACGUCCUCACGCAACCACUCUUUACUGUGAGAAAAUCAGAGUGCUCAAAGCAGGCAUUUGCCGUGAAUGUAUUAGCAUGGAAUAAUAGAAUAGGACUCGGUUCUAUUUUGUUGGUUUGUUGGGACUGAGUAAUGAUUAAGAGGGACAGUUGGGGGCAUUUGUAUUCCGGCGCUAGAGGUGAAAUUCUUAGAUUGCCGGAAGACAAACUGCUGCGAAAGCGUCUGCCAAGGAUGUUUUCAUUGA
rnacentral:rRNA from 1 species